GGACUACCCGGGUAUCUAAUCCUGUUUGAUCCCCACGCUUUCGCGCCUCAGCGUCAAUACUUGUCCAGGAAGGCGCCUUCGCCUCUGGUGUUCCUUCGCAUAUCUACGGAUUUUACCCCUACAUGCGAAAUUCCCCUUCCCCCUCCAAGAUUCUAGACCUGUAGUUUCAGACGCAGUUUCGAGGUUGAGCCCCGAGAUUUCACAUCUGACUUGCAGGUCCGCCUACGCGCGCUUUACGCCCAAUAAAUCCGAACAACGCUUGCACCCUUCGUAUUACCGCGGCGGCUGGCAC
rnacentral:rRNA from 1 species